CUAAUGACUUAUCAUUAUGUCCACAGAUCAACGCAUCUACCAACUCUCCUCUGAGAAGCGUCUGUUUACGUGGUUGGUGACAAACGCAGAGACCUAUCAUGAGCCACAGUGAAGAGAGCAAAGAGACUCCCAAAUCCUCAGCACUAGAAGACCCAGAGAUCACUGCAGAAGAAAGAGCAGGAAGAAUAUAAAAGCCAGAGCCAGCACUGGGGAACUGGAAGCAGAAGAAGAAGGAAUUCAAGGCUGCACCUGAAUCCGAGGGCAUGCAACACCACAUGAGACAUCGUCUUUAAAAAACAAUCACUAGGACGGCUCAACAGAAGAAUCAAGGAAUCUGGGCUAGAGAGAGGGUUCGGGGAGUGAAGGACUCGCUGAGCAAACAUGAGGACCGUGUCAGAUCGCCAUCACCCAUGGAAAACACGCAUCUGUCACCCCAGCACUGGGAGAGUGGAGACAGGAGGGUCCCAGGGACUCAGCCAGUCUACAGGAAACAUUGAAGUCCGGGCACAGCGCGAGACCCAUCUCACAAAGCAGCAGAGGAAAGUGACAGAGGAAGCCACCUGCCCUCAGCCUCUGGCCCUCACAGUCAU